ensembl:lncRNA
UGAGAGCGUGCGAUUUGCAUACAGGUGAGGGAAGGGGACAUAAAGCGCUGGGCUAGGAGGGAGAGCGAGAGAGACGAGUGGAGGUGAAGUGAGCUUUUCACAGGGGUCAGGUCAAUAUUGGCAUUUCCAGAUCCCCUGGCAGCUGUCUGCAAUGCUCUGUAAUUAGCUGAAAGGGACGGAUUAGUCCUCGUCCCGGUGUCCCUCGGAAGACGAGGCCCACAUUCCCAGUAGAUGGCAGUAGCGUGUCCUUGUCGAAGCAACAGGUUGCAAGGGAGGUCGCUCUGAUUUUCAUGGCAGGGUUGCAGGUUUCUGAUAUUUUAUUUUUGCUGCAAAAGAAUGGCAGCUAAAAUAAAAAAAAAAAAAAAAAAAAAAAAAAAAGAAGAAAAAAUGUAUUUAGACCACAGUGCAACAUUGUUCCCUUUCCCUUAGGGUUAAGGUUAGGGUUACCCUAACCCUAAAAUUACUGCACACAGACGGUGUUAGGUUGGUUGCAGUUGUGUCCCUCAUAAAUGAUUUUGUACAGUGAUUGCUGAUGGGAUGAAAUACCUAAAGUUACAAUUUUAAUCGUUAAAUUAUUAAUAAUUUUUUAAUUUUUUGUGAGGUUUUCUGCAGGACGUAUACCUUUCCAUCUCAACUUUAUAUGGAUUUUCUCAAAGAGCGAGCGGGACAAAACCUAAACUUUCUUGUCCUGUGAGGCAAAGAUAAUAGGAAAUGUAUAUCAGUUCAUCUGGCAGUAAAAGUCCACCUCCAUGCCAAUCUCUCCAUCAGAAGACAAUGCUUACCUUGUUCCCCUGCAUUUCUCCCAGGUACCACUCAGCUCUCACAGUGACACACAUUUGUUGAUACAGGCAGUGUCAAAAAUUCAAAAAGAGAUGCAUGUCAGCAGUAAAAUGCAGUGUGGCAGACCCCGCCGGUGAUUGGAAACAGGCUCUUCCUCACUGUGUAAUGCCUCUUUACCUUACGGAGGAAUGCAGUGGCUCAGAGGAAGGGGGUCCCUCCAAGCACGCUGCGAGAACAUUGGAAUGGGUUUCCUCAUUGGUCAUCGUUUGGUCAGUGGAGGAGGGCUGGACUCUGACCAGGACACAACUCCACAGUCAACUGAGAGGUAAACAUCAAAUUCUGACAUUAAGUUGCCACCUGCUCUGUAUGUGUGGGCCCACUGCUGAAUGAUGGUAUGGAUUCUUAGGGCACUUUAGGUAGGUAUGUGGACGCGAUGUGGGCACGAUGUGGGCACGAUGUGGGCGCUCACCCAAGUUUAUAAGAUACCAACUCCAGCAUAAAACUUGAAUGUCUCAGCCAGUUUUUGUGUCAGUAAAGCAUUCAUUUAUUUAAAGAAUUAUUUGUAAGAACAACCAAGAUUCCAGCUGCACGCAAAUUAGUCUGUGGUGAACAGAUGGACAUACAGUCCAGAGGUCUUCAGGUCAAAACCAAAAAAGCACUCUUCUACACUUCAGAGUGGUACGUAAGUAAGGAUGUAAGAGAGUAAGUAAGGAAGUAAACUCUUCCAAUAAUAAUAAUAAUAAGAAUAAUAAUAAUGAAUUGCUUCAGCACCCAAUGGCCCAG